rnacentral:rRNA from 1 species
AACGAACGCUUGCGGCAUGCCUAACACAUGCAAGUCGAACGAGAUCUUCGGGUCUAGUGGCGCACGGGUGCGUAACGCGUGGGAAUCUGCCCUUUGGUUCGGAAUAACAGUUGGAAACGCCUCCUAAUACCGGAUGAUGACGAGAGUCUAAAGAUUUAUCGCCAGAGGAUGAGCCCGCGUAGGAUUAGCUAGUUGGUGUGGUAAAGGCGCACCAAGGCGACGAUCCUUAGCUGGUCUGAGAGGAUGUUCAGCCACACUGGGACUGAGACACGGCCCAGACUCCUACGGGAGGCAGCAGUGGGGAAUAUUGGACAAUGGGCGAAAGCCUGAUCCAGCAAUGCCGCGUGAGUGAUGAAGGCCUUAGGGUUGUAAAGCUCUUUUGCCCGGGAUGAUAAUGACAGUACCGGGAGAAUAAGCUCCGGCUAACUCCGUGCCAGCCGCCGCGGUAA